AACGAACGCUGGCGGCAGGCCUAACACAUGCAAGUCGAACGCGCGUAGCAAUACGUGAGUGGCGCACGGGUGAGUAACACGUGGGAAUCAACCCAGAGGUUCGGAAUAACCGCGGGAAACUGCGGCUAAUACCGGAUAUCCCCUACGGGGGAAAGACUUAUCGCCUUUGGACGAGCCCGCGUCCGAUUAGCUAGUUGGUGAGGUAACGGCUCACCAAGGCUACGAUCGGUAGCUGGUCUGAGAGGACGACCAGCCACACUGGAACUGAGACACGGUCCAGACUCCUACGUGAGGCAGCAGUGGGGAAGAUUACGCAAUGGAGGCAGCUCUGACCCAGCCAUGCCGCGUGGGUGACGAAGGUCUUCGGAUUGUAAAGCCCUUUCGGCGGUGACGAUGAUGACGGUACCCGCAGAAGAAGCCCCGGCUAACUUCGUGCCAGCCGCCGCAGUAACAC
rnacentral:rRNA from 1 species